CAGUCGCCGCGGUAAAACGUAGGUGGCAAGCGUUGUCCGGAAUUAUUGGGCGUAAAGGGCUCGCAGGCGGUUUCUUAAGUCUGAUGUGAAAGCCCCCGGCUCAACCGGGGAGGGUCAUUGGAAACUGGGAAACUUGAGUGCAGAAGAGGAGAGUGGAAUUCCACGUGUAGCGGUGAAAUGCGUAGAGAUGUGGAGGAACACCAGUGGCGAAGGCGACUCUCCGGUCUGUAACUGACGCUGAGGAGCGAAAGCGUGGGGAGCGAACAGGAUUAGAUACCCCGGUAGUCCCUGUCUCUUAUAC
rnacentral:rRNA from 1 species